rnacentral:rRNA from 1 species
UAAGCACCGCUACUGUGCCGCAUCGGUCACGUUCCGAUUCAUUGGUUUAAGGGUGCGAGGCGGAUAGCAUGGUGAACUGAGUACUGUGAUGACUGCUGAGUGGCUGAAGUGGCGAUGUGGUGUGGGGAAAUGCUUAUAUACAGACACCAUUGCGAAGGCAGCUACUAAGACUGACGCUGAGGCACAAAGCGGGGGAUCAAACAGGAUUAAUACCCUGGUAGUCCCGCCGUAACUGAUCACUCGAGAUGCUGUGUCUCCGAAAGCGUUAAGGAUCACCUGGGGGUACGAUGCAAGAUUGAAACUCAAAGGCACAAGUCUAUCGCGGAGAACUUACCAGGCUAGUUCGAAACUCGAGGUCUGCAUGGCUUUCAGCUCGUGCCGUGAGGUGCGGGUUAAGUCCCUAACGACGCACCCCUAUUUUAGUUGCGGGGACUCUAAGAAACUGCCCGU